UUCGGGGGAGCGGCGAACGAGUGAGUAACGCGUUGAUACCUGCCCUAGACUCAGGGAUAGCCCACCGAAAGGUGGAUUAAUACCGGAUAGUCCCGCAAGGGUAAAGAUUUAUCGGUCUAGGAGGGGUCUGCGUAGUAUCAGCUUGUUGGUGGGGUAAUGGCCUACCAAGGCUUUGACGCUUAACUGGUCUGAGAGGAUGAUCAGUCACGAUGGAACUGAGACACGGUCCAUACUCC
rnacentral:rRNA from 1 species